UACGGAAGGCAGCAGUGGGGAAUAUUGCACAAUGGGCGAAAGCCUGAUGCAGCUAUGCCGCGUGUAUGAAGAAGGCCUUAGGGUUGUAAAGUACUUUUCAUCGGGGAGGAAAAAACAAAACUAAUAAUUUUAUUUCUUGACGUUACCCGAAAAAGAAGCACCGGCUAACUCCGUGCCAGCAGCCGCGGUAAUACGGAGGGUGCUAGCGUUAAUCAGAAUUACUGGGCGUAAAGAGCACGUAGGUGGUUUUUUUUAAGUCAGAUGUGAAAUCCCUGGGCUUAACCUAGGAACUGCAUUUUGAAACUGAAAUACUAGAGUAUCGUAGAGGGAGGUAGAAUUCUAGGUGUAGCGGUGAAAUGCGUAGAUAUCUGGAGGAAUACCUGUGGCGAAAGCGGCCUCCUAAACGAAUACUGACACUGAGGUGCGAAAGCGUGGGGAGCAAACAGGGAUUAGAUACC
rnacentral:rRNA from 1 species